UACGGGGGGAGCAAGCGUUGUUCGGAUUUACUGGGCGUAAAGGGCGCGUAGGCGGUCAGCACAAGUCAGUUGUGAAAUCUCCGAGCUUAACUCGGAAAGGUCAACUGAUACUGUGCGACUAGAGUGCAGAAGGGGCAACUGGAAUUCUUGGUGUAGCGGUGAAAUGCGUAGAUAUCAAGAGGAACACCUGCGGCGAAGGCGGGUUGCUGGGCUGACACUGACGCUGAAGCGCGAAAGCCAGGGGAGCAAACGGG
rnacentral:rRNA from 1 species